rnacentral:rRNA from 1 species
GACGAACGCUGGCGGCGUGCCUAAUACAUGCAAGUCGAACGCUUCUUUCCUCCCGAGUGCUUGCACUCAAUUGGAAAGAGGAGUGGCGGACGGGUGAGUAACACGUGGGUAACCUACCCAUCAGAGGGGGAUAACACUUGGAAACAGGUGCUAAUACCGCAUAACAGUUUAUGCCGCAUGGCAUAAGAGUGAAAGGCGCUUUCGGGUGUCGUUGAUGGAUGGACCCGCGGUGCAUUAGCUAGUUGGUGAGGUAACGGCUCACCAAGGCCACGAUGCAUAGCCGACCUGAGAGGGUGAUCGGCCACACUGGGACUGAGACACGGCCCAGACUCCUACGGGAGGCAGCAGUAGGGAAUCUUCGGCAAUGGGCGAAAGUCUGACCGAGCAACGCCGCGUGAGUGAAGAAGGUUUUCGGAUCGUAAAGCUCUGUUGUUAGAGAAGAACAAGGACGUUAGUAACUGAACGUCCCCUGACGGUACCUAACCAGAAAGCCACGGCUAACUACGUG